rnacentral:misc_RNA from 1 species
GAUGAAGAACGCAGCGAAAUGCGAUACGUAGUGUGAAUUGCAGAAUCCAGUGAAUCAUCGAAUCUUUGAACGCACAUUGCGCCCGCCGGCAUCCCGGCGGGCAUGCCUGUUCGAGCGUCAUUACAACCCUCAGGCCCCCGGGCCUGGCGUUGGGGAUCGGCGGAGCCCCCCGUGGGCACACGCCGUCCCCCAAAUGCAGUGGCGGUCCCGCCGCAGCUUCCAUCGCGUAGUAGCUAACACCUCGCGACUGGAGAGCGGCGCGGCCACGCCGUAAAACACCCAACUCUUCUGAAGUUGACCUCGAAUCAGGUAGGAAUACCCGCUGAACUUAAGCAUAUCAAUAAGCGGAGGA